CGCCGUAUUAUUAUACUAAUCGGAACAAAAUAAGCACUCAGACUGCUAAUUAUCGCCGGCGUAUAUAUAUAUAUAUUUUUUUUAAAUCAGUUUGAAAGGCUUUUUAUUUCGUAUGUUUUUGUAGUUUUAAAGAUUCCUUGAGUUGAACAAGCAGUAAAGGCUAUAAGUUGCUAUGUUUUUUUUUUCUUUUCUACUAAGAUGACGUGUUAUUUUUUCUCAGGAAACGUUUUUUCCGUGGUUAUUAUUAACCUUCCAAAUGUUUCAUACGGCUGUAUGAGUACCUUAAAAGUUGGCAAUUUUCCCUCCCGGCUUUAGGUAUAUACUCGUACUUUUAUCGAACUAUUUGUCAAUAGAGUCCAAAUAUGUCAUAACGUUCAUACUUUAAAUUAUUUUGGACUCAUAAACAUUCCAUUUUCCACCUUUCGUUUUUUGGUUCUCAUGGUCGUACAACACGUACAAAUAAAUAAAAUAAAUUUAAAUGGUUUUCAUGGGCCAAAAAUAACUAACAGUAAUUUAAACCUUCUUAUUGGUGGCGUAAAUGCUUCCUAACAUUUUUUUGUCUACAUACUAGACGUUGUUACCCAUCUAGCAAAAACAAUAUUGAUAGAGAUAAUAGUGGCGUG